rfam:Lupinus angustifolius cultivar Tanjil contig_4178, whole genome shotgun sequence.
AGGUGCAAUCAUACAAACACUAAAGCUCCGGAUCCCAUUGCAACUCCACAGUCAAGCGUGCUUGGGUGAGAGUAGUACUACGAUGGGUGACCACCUGCGAAGUCCUCGUGUUGCACCUC